rnacentral:rRNA from 1 species
CCUACGGGGGGCAGCAGUGGGGAAUAUUGCACAAUGGGCGCAAGCCUGAUGCAGCCAUGCCGCGUGUGUGAAGAAGGCCUUCGGGUUGUAAAGCACCUUCAGCGGGGAGGAAGGCGGUGAGGUUAAUAACCUCAUCGAUUGACGUUACCCGCAGAAGAAGCACCGGCUAACUCCGUGCCAGCAGCCGCGGUAAUACGGAGGGUGCAAGCGUUAAUCGGAAUUACUGGGCGUAAAGCGCACGCAGGCGGUCUGUCAAGUCGGAUGUGAAAUCCCCGGGCUCAACCUGGGAACUGCAUUCGAAACUGGCAGGCUAGAGUCUUGUAGAGGGGGGUAGAAUUCCAGGGGUAGCGGUGAAAUGCGUAGAGAUCUGGAGGAAUACCGGUGGCGAAGGCGGCCCCCUGGACAAAGACUGACGCUCAGGUGCGAAAGCGGGGGGAGCAAACAGGAUUAAUACCCUUGUAGUC